CAAUAGCGUAUAUUAAAGUUGUUGCGGUUAAAAAGCUCGUAGUUGGAUUUCUGCUGAAGGCAGCCGGUCCAUGUUCGACAUGCGCAUCUGGAUUGACUUCGGCAUCCUCUCAGAUAACGAUUCUGUGCUUGAUUGCAUGGAGCGGAGUUUGAGACUUUUACUUUGAGGAAAAUAGAGUGUUCACGGCAGGCAAUCGCCCUGAAUAUAUUAGCAUGGAAUAAUAAAAUAGGAUCUUGGUUCUAUUUUGUUGGUUUCUAGAACGAAGAUAAUGAUUAAUAGGGACAAUUGGGGGCAUUCGUAUUAACGCGUCAGAGGUGGAAUUCUUGGAUUGCGUUACGACGAACUACUGCGAAAGCAUUUGCCAAGGAUGUUUUCAUUAA
rnacentral:rRNA from 1 species